UACAGAGGGUGCGAGCGUUAAUCGGAAUUACUGGGCGUAAAGCGUGCGUAGACGGUUAUUUAAGUCGGAUGUGAAAGCCCCGGGCUCAACCUGGGAAUUGCAUUCGAGACUGAAUAGCUAGGGUGCGGUAGAGGGAAGCGGAAUUUCCGGUGUAGCGGUGAAAUGCGUAGAUAUCGGAAGGAACAUCAGUGGCGAAAGCGGCUUCCUGGACCAGCACCGACGUUCAGGCACGAAAGCGUGGGGAGCGAAACGG
rnacentral:rRNA from 1 species